rnacentral:misc_RNA from 1 species
UCCAGAAUCCUCUUUUACAACUCACUGCCCCAAAAUUAUUUCAUUUUACAGUUAGACACCCAAAAAAAAAAAUCCCACCUUUUAUAUACCACCCAUUCCCUCUUUCUCCCCCCCACCCUUCUUUUCUACUCAAUUCCUCCAUUUCCUCACUUUCCCUCGCUUUCCCAGGAAAUAAAGGGAGAACCCAAUUCGAGAACACAAGAAAACAUACUUCCCAGGUGGAAAUGAGAGAAAUUCUUCACAUCCAGGGCGGCCAAUGCGGCAACCAGAUUGGAGCUAAGUUCUGGGAGGUGAUAUGCGACGAGCAUGGUAUUGAUAACACCGGAAAGUAUAGCGGUGACUCUGAACUCCAGCUUGAGCGUAUCAAUGUCUAUUACAACGAGGCCAGUGGUGGCAGAUACGUGCC